UACGAAACGACUCUCGGCAACGGAUAUCUCGGCUCUCGAAUCGAUGAAGAACGUAGCGAAAUGCGAUACUUGGUGUGAAUUGCAGAAUCCCGUGAACCAUCGAGUCUUUGAACGCAAGUUGCGCCCGAAGCCUUCUGGC
rnacentral:rRNA from 1 species